GUCUAUGGCCAUGCUAUCCUGAACAAUCCUGAUCUCGGAAGCUAAGCAGGGGCGGUCCUGGUUAGUAUUUGGAUGGGAAACCACCUAGGAAGACCAGGUGCUGUAGGUA
rnacentral:rRNA from 1 species